rnacentral:rRNA from 1 species
CCUACGGGAGGCUGCAGUGGGGAAUCUUAGACAAUGGGGGCAACCCUGAUCUAGCCAUGCCGCGUGAGUGAUGAAGGCCUUAGGGUUGUAAAGCUCUUUCAGCUGGGAAGAUAAUGACGGUACCAGCAGAAGAAGCCCCGGCUAACUCCGUGCCAGCAGCCGCGGUAAUACGGAGGGGGCUAGCGUUGUUCGGAAUUACUGGGCGUAAAGCGCACGUAGGCGGACUGGAAAGUUGGGGGUGAAAUCCCGGGGCUCAACCUCGGAACUGCCUUCAAAACUAUCAGGCUGGAGUUCGAGAGAGGUGAGUGGAAUUCCGAGUGUAGAGGUGAAAUUCGUAGAUAUUCGGAGGAACACCAGUGGCGAAGGCGGCUCACUGGCUCGAUACUGACGCGGAGGUGCGAAAGCGUGGGGAGCAAACAGGAUUAGAUCCCCUGGUAGU